rnacentral:lncRNA from 1 species
GAAAAAGGGUCAUAACGGAAGAAAAAAAAGUUCAAGGAUGAGGUUGUACAAACCUAAAAGAUGACCCGAAGGGAGAAUCGAGAAAUUGAACAAGAGCCAAGUACCAAUUGGGAGCCAUAAUGGAGUGACGGAGAAAGAAAAUGAAGAAAAGAGGGCAAAUGGAAGAAGAUCGUGAUUGAGAACCAAAACGCAUCAAUUGAAAGGUUGGUUCUACCAUGCGGUCGCAUGGUAGAAAAGGGCUUGCGGUUGCACAAGAGUACACAGGGAAUUCAAAAGCCAAAACUGGGUAAACCAUACGGUCGCAUGGCUUAAUACCAUGCGGUCGCAAGAUUACGACUAAAGUGCGAUUUUUCCAAUUUUCGUACGAGCCACCCAUCCCAUUCCCACAAAGGUUGAAGAAACAUAAGCUGGAUCAAGAGUUUGAGAAGUUUCUGGAUGUGCUAAAGAAACACCACAUCAAUAUCCCGUUCAUCAACACAAUAAGAUAGAUUCCAAGCUAUGUAAAAUUCUUGAAAGACAUGAUAUCAAAGAAGAGAGCUUCCAAAAUUUGAAACUGUGGCACUAACAGAGGAAAGCAGUGCAAUGCUUCAAAACAAACUGUCUUCAAAACUCAAGGAUCCAGGGAGUUUCACUUUACCUAUUUCAAUUGGAGAAGUUGGAUCUUUCAAUGCUUUAUAUGAUACAGGUACAAGUGUUAACUUAAUGUCUUUAUUUGUUUACAGAAAAUCGGGAUUAGGAGAUGCAAAAGAAAAUGACGAUGUUAUUGUAGCUGGCCAAUAGAAGCAUUAAAUAUCCAAGAGGCAAGGUUGAAGAUAUGCUACUAAAAGUGGGCAAAUUGAUAUUUCCGUUAAACUUCAUUGUCCUGGACAUGAAGAAGACAGGAAUAUUCCAAUAAUCUUAAGGCGACCAUUCUUAGCAAUUGGUUGAACUUUGAUUGAUAUGGAGAAAUGUGGGCUAACAUUGAGAGUGGAUGAGGAACAAGAAGUCUUUUAAGUUACAUGAUACAUCCAAACAACCAUUAGGUCUCGAGGAGUGUAACUGCAUCGAUGAAGAUGAACCAGGAAUUCAACAAAACUGUCAGAAGCAAAAACAAAACGAUGUAAGGACAAAAAUUGCAAGGAGUGCAAGGGUGAAACAUUUAGAUUUAAACCGCCAUAAGCAUACCACCCAAAAAGUCGAAUUAUUGACUAUAAACUAAUGCUGGUUGGGAGGCAACCCAAUGUAUCCACCCUUUUGUUUUUCGCUUUAUGCAUUGGAUUAGGAAUUGCAUUUUUUUAUUAUUCAUAAGUAGUUUAGGUCAUUACCAUUCAGUUACAUCACAAAAGGUCAUUGCAUGGUCCUAGCUAGUUUAAAAUGUGUCUAGUAUGAGUGGUGUUGUGUUGAAUUCAUGCUAGGGUGACUAGGCGUUCAAUUCAUGCAUUUCGAGGCCAAAAGGAGGAUGCGGGCCCCAAUUUUCCACCACCACCUCCAUGCUAAUCAGGGGAGUUCCUGUUACCCACCUUGACCUUUUCUUUUCUUAAUGUGUUUUAUUCUUCGAAUUAUGCCUGCACCCAACCUCUAUUUAAUUUCAACAUUGAGGACAAUAUUUUAAUAUGUUUAGGAGAGCAGCAUAAUUCUAGCAUAUUUAUUCAUCAAUAUCUGUUCAAUUUUACUGCUCUUUGUGUGACUAUAUGUGUGUUAAAAACUUAAAUAAAAAAAUUUCGAUUUUUAUUUAAUUCCCAUAGCUAUUUUUAACUGUUUUGUAUGCUUGUGUGGGCUUGAUUUCUUUGAUGGCUAUGACGAGAAUAUUGAAAUAAGUAUGCAUAGGAGCUGAGAAUUUGGUGCAGGAUUUGAUUCACUUAUACGUGUGGAUGUGACACUUGACAUUCUUUGCACAGACUCCCAUGCUCUACAUAUUAGGUUAGUGAUUGGAUAUUUGAAGACAAAGUCGGAUAAAACCUAUAAUACUCUUUAAUGCAUUAAACCCUAAACCACUUUACAUAAUUUGGAGAUGGUAGAGUGAUUACAGGGGAGCUUUGAGAUAAAAAAAAAAAAAAAAAAAAAGGUUCCGUACAUGAAUGUAUAUUGUGUGGAUAGCCUAGAUCACUAAGAUGAAGAUUAGGUGAAAAUCUUGAGUUGAGGGCCAGUUUUAGAAGAUGAAUGUCUAGAAAAACCAAAGGGGGGCAUACAAAUUGAUUUGAGUAUAGAUAAUAAUUCUCUCAAAUCUUUUAUGACUCAAGCAAAUAAGCUUGUAAGAAUAUUUUGAAAUCUGGUGCCCUAAAGCCAACUGGUUUAGGAGUCACCGACCUAAAGCUGGCUACCGGGGUCAUAUAGAAAGCAAAAAGGGGAGGAAUAAGUUAAAAGUCAUCUGAUUGAGCCUUUAUAACCCGAGUGAAUAAGCCUGCAAGUGUUUAAAACCUGAUUUCCUAAGGCCAAUUGGUUUGGGAGUCACCGACCUAAAGCUCGUUACAAGGGUUAUAUAGAAAGCAAAUGAGAAGAUGACAAAAAAAAAAUCAUCAAAGAAUAAGAGAGCAAAAACACAACAUAACACGAAGAAAGCCCUUGGACAUUUGGUUUAUAAAACUACACUUUUGAUGCAAGGCAAGUAACUUAAUUUAGUCUUAGGGGUUGAAGCAAUCAAAAUGGAGAACUUCUACUUGUUGACAUGUGACUUUGUAAUAGUGAAAUCUUUCCAAGCUAAAAAGGGCAAGGAAACUCUUAACUUUAGAACACACUUCAGGAUAAUUAAGUGAAAAGACUAAGUUUGGGGGGUGUGUAUCUCUCGAGCGAAGAAAGGAUAUAUUUGAUCACUACGGGUUGGGAUUCGCCCAAUCAUGAGCCUGAUAUGCUGGCAUGAGUUCACACACACACGUUGAGUUUUGCAUCUAACAGGUAAUGGUUGAUUUUAUUCCUGUGUUAAUUACUGAAUUCCAAUCCUGAAACACGGCAUAUUGUCAAGCCAUAUUUUGUUUAGAGUUAAGUCACUAUCAUGUUUGAGGACAAACGAGAGUUCAAGUUUGGAGUGUUUGAUAAGUGCAUUUUUACACUCUUAUUUGACCACAAAACAUGAUUAAUUGUUAAUAAAUGUGUGUGAAUAUGACUUAGUUUUAUAAAAUUUUGUUUUGUAGGAUUUCAUUGAUGAAUAUGACAUAACUUAAGAGAAAAGACACAAAAAAGGGGCCAAAAUGGAAGAAAACAAAAGUUUAGGGAUCAAGUUGCACAAACCCAAAAGAUGACCGAAAGGAGAAUCGAGAAAUUGAACGAGCCAAGUACCAAUUGGGAGCAAUAAUGGAGUGAUGGAGCAAGAAGAAUGAAGAAAAGAGGGCAAAAUGGAAGAAGAACGAGAUUGAGGACCAAAACACAUCAAUUGAAAGGUUGGCUCUACCAUGGGGUCGCAUGGUAGAAAAGGGCUUGCGGUCGCACAAGAGCACACAGGAAAUUUAAAAGCCAAAACUUGGAAACCAUGCAGUUGCAUGGUUAUGACUGAAGCGCGAUUUUUCGAGUUUACUUAUACGAACAAAACUCUUAUGGAAACCUAAUUGUGACACGAUAUAAAAACCCAAAACCAUCCAUAACAAAGGGGGAGCCACAUUAUACACUAUUUUUGAGGAUUUGAAGAGCAAGAACACGGCAGAAACGAAGGGAUUCAUUCCAAGAUUCAAGAUUUCAACUCAAGAAUUAAUUGGGUGAUGUUCUUCCGUGAUUUUAAUUGUUGUUCUUUUCUUCCAUUCAUGUGUAGUUAAAUUUUCAUGUGUUAGGAGAUCGAUUAACCAUGUAAUGUAAUCUUUGGAUUUCUAGCUUUACAUAAUUGACAUUUGAACACAUUAUUGAAU